rnacentral:rRNA from 1 species
UACGUAGGGUGCGAGCGUUAUCCGGAAUCAUUGGGCGUAAAGAGCUCGUAGGCGGUUCAACAAGUCGGCUGUGAAAGUCCGGGGCUCAACCCCGGAAUUGCAGUCGAUACUGUUGUGACUUGAGUCCGGUAGAGGAGAAUGGAAUUCCCGGUGUAGCGGUGGAAUGCGCAGAUAUCGGGAGGAACACCAGCGGCGAAGGCGGCGCUCUGGGCUGAGAUUGACGCUGAGGAGCGAAAGUGUGGGUAGCAAACAGGAUUAGAUACCCU